UACGGAGGGUGCAAGCGUUAUCCGGAUUUACUGGGUUUAAAGGGUGCGUAGGUGGACAGGAAAGUCAGUGGUGAAAUCUUCGAGCUUAACUCGGAAACUGCCAUUGAUACUAUUUGUCUUGAAUACUUUGGAGGUAAGCGGAAUAUGUCAUGUAGCGGUGAAAUGCUUAGAUAUGACAUAGAACACCAGUUGCGAAGGCGACUUACUACACAGUUAUUGACACGGAGGCACGCAAGCGUGGGGAUCAAACAGG
rnacentral:rRNA from 1 species